rnacentral:rRNA from 1 species
ACGAACGCUGGCGGCGUGCCUAACACAUGCAAGUCGAACGAGAAAGGGGCUUCGGCUCCGAGUAAAGUGGCGCACGGGUGAGUAACACGUGGGUAACCUGCCUCUAAGAUUGGGAUAACUCGUCGAAAGAUGAGCUAAUACCGAAUAAGACCACAGUUCCCGCGGGAACAGGGGUCAAAGGUAGCCUCUGCUUGCAAGCUAUCACUUAGAGAUGGGCCUGCGCACCAUUAGCUAGUUGGUAGGGUAACGGCCUACCAAGGCAAAGAUGGUUAACUGGUCUGAGAGGAUGAUCCGCCCCCCUGGCACUGAGACACGGUCCAGACUCCUACGGGGGGCAGCAGUGGGGAAUAUUGCGCAAUAGGCGAAAGCUUGACGCAGCAACGCCGCGUGAGUGAUGAAGGCCUUCGGGUCGUAAAGCUCUGUCGGGAGGAACGAAUGCUCCUGAGGUUAACAGCCUCGGGAGGUGACGGUACCUUCAAAGGAAGCACCGGCUAACUCUGUG